rnacentral:rRNA from 1 species
UACGAAGGGUGCAAGCGUUACUCGGAAUUACUGGGCGUAAAGCGUGCGUAGGUGGUUCGUUAAGUCUGUCGUGAAAGCCCCGGGCUCAACCUGGGAAUGGCGAUGGAUACUGGCGGGCUAGAGUGCGGUAGAGGAGAGUGGAAUUCCCGGUGUAGCAGUGAAAUGCGUAGAGAUCGGGAGGAACAUCAGUUGCGAAGGCGGCUCUCUGGACCAGCACUGACACUGAGGCACGAAAGCUAGGGGAGCAAACAGG